GACCUGCGGAAGGAUCAUUACCGAGUUUUCGAGCUCCGGCUCGACUCUCCCACCCUUUGUGAACGUACCUCUGUUGCUUUGGCGGCUCCGGCCGCCAAAGGACCUUCAAACUCCAGUCAGUAAACGCAGACGUCUGAUAAACAAGUUAAUAAACUAAAACUUUCAACAACGGAUCUCUUGGUUCUGGCAUCGAUGAAGAACGCAGCGAAAUGCGAUAAGUAAUGUGAAUUGCAGAAUUCAGUGAAUCAUCGAAUCUUUGAACGCACAUUGCGCCCCUUGGUAUUCCGGGGGGCAUGCCUGUUCGAGCGUCAUUACAACCCUCAAGCUCUGCUUGGAAUUGGGCACCGUCCUCACUGCGGACGCGCCUCAAAGACCUCGGCGGUGGCUGUUCAGCCCUCAAGCGUAGUAGAAUACACCUCGCUUUGGAGCGGUUGGCGUCGCCCGCCGGACGAACCUUCUGAACUUUUCUCAAGGUUGACCUCGGAUCAGGUAGGGAUACCCGCUGAACUUAAGCAUAUCAAUAAGGCGGAGGA
rnacentral:rRNA from 1 species